rnacentral:rRNA from 1 species
UAUGUGAUCGUCUCUCGCAUAUCAAUAAGCGGAGGAAAAGAAACUAACAAGGAUUCCCUUAGUAACGGCGAGUGAAGCGGGAAGAGCUCAAAUUUGAAAUCUUCAAGGUUUUACCUUGACGAAUUGUAGUUUAAAGAAGUGUUUUCUGUUGAAGUUUUGGUAAAAGUUCUUUGGAAUAGGACAUCAUAGAGGGUGAGAAUCCCGUAUUUGACCAUUAUUUUCAGCUGUGUGAUACACUUUCAAAGAGUCGGAUUGUUUGGGAAUGCAGUCCAAAAUGGGUGGUAAAUUUCAUCUAAAGCUAAAUAUUGGCGAGAGACCGAUAGCGAACAAGUACCGUGAGGGAAAGAUGAAAAGAACUUUGAAAAGAGAGUUAAACAGUACGUGAAAUUGUCAAAAGGGAAGCGUUUGACACCAGUGUUGUUUUCUCGAAAAUCAAUUAAAAAGAGUUUAGAUUUUGUUGUGUAUUGACCUUAACAGCUCGCAUUUCAAUUUUCUUGCUUUUUUUAAUGCACUUUUCGUUUAACAAGUCAACAUCAGUUUCUUUUGUUGUAAAAAGGUCAUUGGAAGGUGGCUUUCUUUUCGGAGAAAGUGUUUAUAGCCUUUGACUCCUGCAAUCGGAGAGACUGAGGUCUGCAGCGUAGAUCCUUCGGGGUUAGAUACAUUUGUGCUAAGUUAUAGCUUUCUAUAGACAACUUGUUGACUAUGAUUAGUCUUGUAGCUUACUCGCUUAUGCUAUUUUACCUACGCUUAGGAUGUUGAAGAUGUAGCACAUCAU